UGUGGUCAAGUUUUUAUGGGCACAUGGUGGAUGUCUGGGCAUCAGGAGCCGAUGAAGGACGUGGGAGGCUGCGAUAAGCCUCGGGGAGCUGUCAACCGAGCUGUGAUCCGAGGGUGUCCGAAUGGGGUAACCCAGCGCCCGUGAUGGGGCGUUACCCGCCGCUGAAUGUAUAGGCGGUGUGGAGGGAACGCGGGGAAGUGAAACAUCUCAGUACCCGUAGGAAGAGAAAACAAGUGUGAUUCCGUGAGUAGUGGCGAGCGAAAGCGGAGGAGGCUAAACCGUGCGCAUGUCAAGCUGGCAGGUGUUGUGUGUGCGGUGUUGUGGGAGCCGGUGGGGAGAACUGCCAUUCUCCCGGAUGCGUGCUGUGGUUAGUGGAAUCGUCUGGGAUGGCGGACCGGAGUGGGUGAGAGUCCCGUACGCGAAAACCGUGGUGGCGUGUUUGGCCGGUGUUCCCGAGUAGCAGCGAGCUCGUGGAAUUUGCUGUGAAUCUGCCGGGACCACCCGGUAAGCCUAAAUACUUCCUGGUGACCGAUAGCGGACGAGUACCGUGAGGGAAAGAUGAAAAGUACCCCGGGAGGGGAGUGAAAGAGUACCUGAAACCGUGUGCCUACAAGCCGUCAGAGCGGUCCCUUUUGGGGAUGGUGAUGGCGUGCCUUUUGAAGAAUGAGCCUGCGAGUUAGUGCUGCGUGGCGAGGUUAACCCGUGUGGGGUAGCCGUAGCGAAAGCGAGUCUGAAGAGGGCGUGUGAGUCGCGUGGUCUAGACCCGAAGCGGGGUGAUCUACCCAUGGCCAGGGUGAAGCGCCGGUAAGACGGCGUGGAGGCCCGAACCCACCAGGGUUGAAAACCUGGGGGAUGAGCUGUGGGUAGGGGUGAAAGGCCAAUCAAACUCCGUGAUAGCUGGUUCUCCCCGAAAUGCAUUUAGGUGCAGCGUCGCGUGUUUCACACCUGGGGUAGAGCUACUGGGUGGCCUAGGGGCCUUACCGGGUUACCGAAGUCAACCAAACUCCGAAUACGGGUGUGUGAGAGCGCGGCAGUGAGACGGCGGGGGAUAAGCUUCGUCGUCGAGAGGGAAACAGCCCAGAACACCGGCUAAGGCCCCGAAGUGUGUGCUCAGUGGGAAAGGAUGUGGGAUUGCCCAGACAACCAGGAGGUUGGCUUAGAAGCAGCCAUCCUUGAAAGAGUGCGUAAUAGCUCACUGGUCAAGUGGUCCUGCGCCGACAAUGUAGCGGGGCUUAAGCACACCGCCGAAGCCGUGUCACUCACACAGAUACAUCCAUCAUCGGGGCUUUGUUCCUGGUGGUGUAGUGGUGUGGGUGGGUAGGGGAGCGUCCUGCACCCGGGGAAGCCGUGGCGGAAGCCAACGGUGGAGGGUGUGGGAGUGAGAAUGCAGGCAUGAGUAGCGAAUGCAGAGUGAGAACCUCUGCCGCCGGAUGACCAAGGGUUCCUGGGCCAGGCUAAUCCGCCCAGGGUAAGUCGGGACCUAAGGCGAGGCCGACAGGCGUAGUCGAUGGACAACGGGUUGAUAUUCCCGUACCCGCGUGUGCGCGUCCCUGGCGAGGCAGGUGAGACUAACCACCCGCCCCGCUCGCCGGCCCUCCUUUGGGGGGUGGGUGGGUGGUGGUGCGUGGGACCUGAUCCUGUAGUAGCCAAGCGAUGGGGUGACGCAGGAAGGUAGCUCCGCCAGUCAGUGGUGAUACUGGUGUAAGCGUGUGGCCCGCAGCAUAGGGAAAUCCGUGCUGCUGACCCUGCGAGGGUCGAGGGUGAGGCGUGAUGCGUAGCCGUGUGAGGCGAAGUAGAGUGAUCCUAUGCUGCCGAGAAAAGCCUCUAGCGAGUGCAUGGGCGGCCCGUACCCCAAACCGACACAGGUGGUCAGGUAGAGAAUACCGAGGCGAUCGGGUGAACUGUGGUUAAGGAACUCGGCAAAAUGCCCCCGUAACUUCGGGAGAAGGGGGGCCAGAGCGCCUGAAGCCCCGUGCGGGCUAGGGCGAGUUGGCCGCAGAGACCAGCGGAAAGCGACUGUUUACUAAAAACACAGGUCCGUGCGAAGACGCAAGUCGAGGUAUACGGACUGACGCCUGCCCGGUGCUGGAACGUUAAGAGGACCGGUUAGCCCCCUUCGGGGGCGAAGCUGAGAAUUUAAGCGCCAGUAAACGGCGGUGGUAACUAUAACCAUCCUAAGGUAGCGAAAUUCCUUGUCGGGUAAGUUCCGACCUGCACGAAUGGCGUAACGACUUUCCGGCUGUCUCAACCACAGGCCCGGCGAAAUUGCACUACGAGUAAAGAUGCUCGUUACGCGCGGCAGGACGGAAAGACCCCGGGACCUUUACUACAGCUUGGUAUUGGUUUUCGGUUCGGCUUGUGUAGGAUAGGUGGGAGACUGUGAAGCGGUCACGCUAGUGGUCGUGGAGUCGUUGUUGAAAUACCACUCUGGUCGGAUGGGGAACCUCAACCUCGGACCGUGAUCCGGUUCAGGGACAGUGCCUGGUGGGUAGUUUAACUGGGGCGGUUGCCUCCCAAAGAGUAACGGAGGCGCCCAAAGGUUCCCUCAGCCUGGUUGGCAAUCAGGUGUUGAGUGUAAGUGCACAAGGGAGCUUGACUGUGAGACUGACGGGUCGAGCAGGGACGAAAGUCGGGACUAGUGAUCCGGCACCACCUGGUGGAAGGGGUGUCGCUCAACGGAUAAAAGGUACCCCGGGGAUAACAGGCUGAUCUUGCCCAAGAGUCCAUAUCGACGGCAUGGUUUGGCACCUCGAUGUCGGCUCGUCGCAUCCUGGGGCCGGAGUAGGUCCCAAGGGUUGGGCUGUUCGCCCAUUAAAGCGGCACGCGAGCUGGGUUUAGAACGUCGUGAGACAGUUCGGUCCCUAUCCGCCGCGCGCGCAGGAGACUUGCGGAAGGCUGUCCCUAGUACGAGAGGACCGGGACGGACGAACCUCUGGUAUGCCAGUUGUCCCACCAGGGGCACGGCUGGUUAGCUACGUUCGGAAGGGAUAACCGCUGAAGGCAUCUAAGCGGGAAGCCUGUUCCUAGAUGAGGUCUCCCACCCCCACGUGGGGUUAAGGCCCCCAGCAGACCACUGGGUUGAUAGGCCAGACAUGGACGCACCGCAAGGUGUUCUCGAGUGGACUGGUACUAAUAGGCCGAGGACUUGCCCA
rnacentral:rRNA from 1 species